CCUACGGGUGACUGCAGUGGGGAAUAUUGCACAAUGGGGGAAACCCUGAUGCAGCGACGCCGCGUGAGUGAAGAAGUAUCUCGGUACGUAAAGCUCUAUCAGCAGGGAAGAAAAUGACGGUACCUGACUAAGAAGCCCCGGCUAACUACGUGCCAGCAGCCGCGGUAAUACGUAUGGAGCAAGCGUUAUCCUGAUUUACUGGGUGUAAAGGGAGAGUAGGUGGCAGAGCAAGUCCGAAGUGAAAACCCAAAGCUAAACUAUGGGAAUGCUUUAGAAACUGCUCAGCUAGAGUGCAGGAGAGGCAAGUGGAAUUCUUAGUGUAGCGGUGAAAUGCGUAGAUAUUAGGAGGAACACCAGUGGCGAAGGCGGCUUGCUGGACUGUAACUGACACUGAGGCUCGAAAGCGUGGGGAGCAAACAGGAUUAGAUACCCCUGUAGUC
rnacentral:rRNA from 1 species